UACGGAGGGGACUAGCGUUGUUCGGAAUUACUGGGCGUAAAGCGCACGUAGGCGGAUUUGUAAGUCAGGGGUGAAAUCCCGGGGCUCAACCUCGGAACUGCCUUUGAUACUGCAAAUCUCGAGUCCGGAAGAGGGUAGUGGAAUUCCCGGUGUAGUGGUGAAAUGCGUAGAUAUCGGGAGGAACACCAGUGGCGAAGGCGACUACCUGGCCUGUUCUUGACGCUGAGGCGCGAAAGCUGGGGGAGCAAACGGG
rnacentral:rRNA from 1 species